rfam:Lepisosteus oculatus linkage group LG7, whole genome shotgun sequence.
AAAGUGGCAUAUGCCACGGCUAUGGACUGGUUUAUGGCCGUCUGCUAUGCUUUU